rnacentral:tRNA from 1 species
UUCUGGAUAGCCAAGUGGUUAAGGCAUCUGCCUCAAGAGCACAAGGUAGUGAGUUUGAUUCCCGCCCCCGACA